GUACAUUGGAUCAGUCCUGUGAGGCUUCAGUUCGUUUUGACGAUAACACUUAAGAAUUAAGAUUCUAUACAUGAAAAAUGUAUAUACCAAGCCAAAUAUAGUGUAAUUGACCUUUUCGAUUUAAUAAGUAACUCGGCCAGAGGGUGUAUCGGGUUCUUUUUUUUUUUUGUUUUUUUGUUUUUGACCUUUUCAAUAGGUUAUUGACCUUUUCAACUUCAAAGACAUAAUUGAAUCAAAUGGCAAAUAUCAAUUCCAUU
rnacentral:lncRNA from 1 species